AAGGACUACAUUGAGCUGGCAGAGCUUACACUUAUGGUGCUUUCUGAGGACAGGUAUCUACUACCUAAAACUCCAACUUAUGAUGGAUGCUAUACCUAGUCUGGAAAAAUGGCUGAAGCAUGAAAUUACUGAAGUGGCAACUUUUGUCUCUGUUUUCUAAACUACCUGGUUUUUCAAAGCUGAACUAUCCGCUGCUGCUCCGAAUCAGGAUAUGAGAGCGCUUUGGCAAAUGAAUAGGUUUAAGGAGUACAAUUUGAUUGGGGCAGAAUCAGUCAUUAAAUCUAUCAAACGCCACACAUGGUUUCUGGACCCUUACCUUAUUGUACUAGCUCUAGCUGAUGAAAAAUG
rnacentral:lncRNA from 1 species